UGUAGGUUAUUUUAAAAAAGAUAUAGGAUACCUCUUUUACCAUCCUACUGAACAAAAGGUCUUUGUUAGUAAACAUACCACUUUUAUGAAAAAAGAGUUUAUCUUAGAAAGAGGUAGUGAGAAGAAAAUUGAACUUGAAGAAGUUUAAAAUCUACAAAUAUAAGCACAAGAUGAUCCUCAACCAAAAAUACCCAUUAAUGAAGUAUAACCACAAAAUAUACCUCCUCUCUGA
rnacentral:lncRNA from 1 species